rnacentral:rRNA from 1 species
GACGAACGCUGGCGGCGUGCUUAACACAUGCAAGUCGAACGGAAAGGCCCUGCUUUUGUGGGGUGCUCGAGUGGCGAACGGGUGAGUAACACGUGAGUAACCUGUCCUUGACUUUGGGAUAACUUCAGGAAACUGGGGCUAAUACCGGAUAGGAGCUCCUGCUGCAUGGUGGGGGUUGGAAAGUUUCGGCGGUUGGGGAUGGACUCGCGGCUUAUCAGCUUGUUGGUGGGGUAGUGGCUUACCAAGGCUUUGACGGGUAGCCGGCCUGGGAGGGUGACCGGCCACAUUGGGACUGGGAUGCGGCCCAGACUCCUACGGGAGGCAGCGGUGGGGAGUAUUGCACAAUGGGCGGAGGCCUGAUGCAGCAACGCCGCGUGCGGGAUGACGGCCUUCGGGUUGUAAACCGCUUUCGCCUGUGACGAAGCGUGAGUGACGGUAAUGGGUAAAGAAGCACCGGCUAACUACGUG